CAUCUCUGCUUUUACUUUGCUUUGCUCUGUUUAUGUUUCUGCCUGUUCUUUCAAAGCUUUUCUACUGAAGAGGCUUCUAGCCAUGAAAAUUGCCAAAGGAAAGAGGGAACCCAGGAAGGACAAGAAGGAAGUAUUAAAGCCUGUAGAUGAUAGGAAAGUUGGAAAGCGAAAAGCUGCUUUAAAGGUUAAUAAGAGUAGCAAAAAACCGGCAAACAAAGAUAAAGUUGGGAAGAAUGAUCCUAACAAGCCAAAGAGGCCUCCAAGUGCUUUUUUCGUCUUUCUAGAAGAGUUUAGAAAGACUUACAAACAAGAGCACCCCAACGUGAAGGCCGUCUCAGCUGUGGCAAAAGCUGGAGGAGAGAAAUGGAAAUCUCUGUCUAAUGCAGAGAAAGCUCCUUACGAAGCCAAAUCAGCCAAAAGGAAAUCAGAAUAUGAUAAGCUUAUGACUGCCUACAACAAGAAACAGGAAAGUUCAGAUGAUGAUGAUGGUAAUGAAGAGUCUGAGAAAUCCAAAUCUGAAGUGAGUGAUGAUGAGGAGAGUGCAGAGGAGGAUGAGGAUGAGGACGAGGAGGGGGAAGAUGAGGAUGACUGAAAUUCAGAUGUGUUUCCAAUUCAUAGAGUCCAAAAAAA
rnacentral:misc_RNA from 1 species